ACGACUCUCGGCAACGGAUAUCUCGGCUCUCGCAUCGAUGAAGAACGCAGCGAAAUGCGAUACUUGGUGUGAAUUGCAGAAUCCCGCGAACCAUCGAGUUUUUGAACGCAAGUUGCGCCCAAAGCCGUCAGGCCGAGGGCACGUCUGCCUGGGUGUCACGCAACAU
rnacentral:rRNA from 1 species